GUAGGAUAGGAGCUCCAGGCAGCAUGCCUACAUUUAGGAUGGGAGAGAGGCAAUGACUUGUAUUCCUUGAAGAGAAGAACAAAGGCUUCCUUGCAGUCCUCCAGUAGUCUUACAUCACAGUGUCCAAAGCUGAGUCAAUGGACUGAAGUAGAGGGAAAGAAAGCUGCAUCCUUUCCAGCCUUUGCAGUGAGGAUGUCAACGGGGAAAACUGGAAAUGCUGUUGCCCGUGCUAGCCAACCUGCCCACACUGACUGGGGAUCAAAUGGAUGUUGCUGGAAAGCAGCGUUUACUGGAUGUUUACAAUGGAGAAAUGGUACAGAGAUACCCUAUGGCCUUUGGUUAUUCUUCAUGGACCUAAAGAAGCUGGUACUGGCACCAGCCAGCUCUGGAGCUUUGCUGAGUCUCAAAAAGACUGACGGUGCCGCCAUACUGUCUCACGUUUCUCCUGUCAUGGUUUCACUCUUCUUAAAAUUUAAAAGAUUAAGGAAAUUUGAAAUGAAGCUGUGUUGAAUUUAACUGCACAGGCUCAUGAGCUGCUACAGGGAUGAGAUGCCAUCAGUCUCCAUAGACCAGAGGUCAAACUUCUGUCCCCUGGCUUGUGGAUCUGACUCCUGGCUUGUGCUGGCAAUGUUGGCAUAACAAGAAAGAUCCACUUCAGGAUGAAAGCAUAAGUUUUGAAUUCCUCUCUAUAAUGGGCUUAUAUGUUUUUUUUUGUUUUGUUUUGUUUUUGUUUUGGUCAUCUUGGUUUUAUAUGUCCUUAAAUGCAAACGCCCAUUAUAAGGCCCUUUGUUUUCCUAUCAGCUGGAAGAGACAAUGUGAGUAAUAUUGGAAGGUGGGUUUGUUUAGCUGAAAAAUAAGAGAAAUGGUCAAAGAUGAAAUUGUUUAAUUCUUUCGUCCAGAGUAACUGCAGAAUUACAGAUGUCUCUUGAAUGCAAUCAAUUACUUUCAGCCAUGUCUGUUUAUUUGUACACAUGUUGCCAAAGUAAAGGCCUAAUCCAAAGAUUAAUGCUUUGGAAAUCUGUUGGGUAUUCUUCUGGACCCUACCCAGUUACUUUUCACGAGAACACCCAGAUGAGGUCUCCUACAGUAUGCAGCCAGUGAAGUGACGGGGCAGCUAAUGCGUAUCAAGACACAGUUACAUUCAGUCUCAAGCAAAGGCAGAGCUCAACCACUUAACUCCAAUCUUUUUUAAAUGUAAUUAAGGUUAUUGGGUCCCAGCUAGGUGGAGCCAGAAACUGGGAAAGUUGGGUUAUUCAGUGGAAAUAACAAACUGGUUAUAAUCCGCAGACAAAAAAAAUAAUGAAAGUAGUCAAAGGAAGAAACGUCUUGUUAAGAAGAAUCAGAUGUUGUAUUAUUAGCUUUUUGAAAAGUGUAACAAACUGUUU
rnacentral:lncRNA from 1 species